rnacentral:rRNA from 1 species
UACGUAGGGACCAAGCGUUGUUCGGAUUUACUGGGCGUAAAGGGCGCGUAGGCGGCUUAACAAGUCACUUGUGAAAUCUCCGGGCUUAACUCGGAACGGCCAAGUGAAACUGUCAAGCUAGAGUGCAGAAGGGGCAAUCGGAAUUCUUGGUGUAGCGGUGAAAUGCGUAGAUAUCAAGAGGAACACCUGAGGUGAAGACGGGUUGCUGGGCUGACACUGACGUGAAGCGCGAAAGCCAGGGGAGCAAACGGG